UACGUAGGGUGCAAGCGUUGCCCGGAUUUAUUGGGCGUAAAGGGCGCGUAGGCGGCUACGCACGUCCGUUGUGAAAUCGCUCGGCUCAACUGGGCGGGGUCAGCGGAUACGGUGUAGCUGGAGCAAGCUAGGGGGCAAUGGAAUUCCCGGUGUAGUGGUGAAAUGCGUAGAGAUGUGGAGGAACACCGAUGGCGAAGGCAGCCCCCUGGGCUAACACUGACGCUCAUGCACGAAAGCGUGGGGAGCAAACAGG
rnacentral:rRNA from 1 species